rnacentral:rRNA from 1 species
UGCAAGUCGAACGAAGUAGCAAUACUUAGUGGCAGACGGGUGAGUAACAUGUAGGUAUCUGCCCUUUGGCCUGGAAUAACACGAGGAAACUUGUGCUAAUACCGGAUAAGUCUUUACGGAGAAAGCUUUAUGCACCAUUGGAUGAGCCUGCACUUGAUUAGUUUGUUGGUGGGGUAAUGGCCUACCAAGACUGUGAUCAAUAGCUGAUUUGAGAGGAUGAUCAGCCACAUUGGGACUGAGACACGGCCCAAACUCCUACGGGAGGCAGCAGUGGGGAAUCUUGCACAAUGGAGGAAACUCUGAUGCAGCGAUGCCGCGUGAGUGAAGAAGGCCUUUGGGUUGUAAAGCUCUUUCGUCGGGGAAGAAAAUGACUGUACCCGAAUAAGAAGGUCCGGCUAACUUCGUGCCAGCAGCCGCGGUAAUACGAAGGGACCUAGCGUAGUUCGGAAUUACUGGGCUUAAAGAGUUCGUAGGUGGUUGAAAAAGUUAGUGGUGAAAUCCCAGAGCUUAACUCUGGAACUGCCAUUAAAACUUUUCAGCUAGAGUAUGAUAGAGGAAAGCAGAAUUUCUAGUGUAGAGGUGAAAUUCGUAGAUAUUAGAAAGAAUACCAAUUGCGAAGGCAGCUUUCUGGAUCAUUACUGACACUGAGGAACGAAAGCAUGGGUAGCGAAGAGGAUUAGAUACCCUCGUAGUCCAUGCCGUAAACGAUGUGUGUUAGACGUUGGAAAUUUAUUUUCAGUGUC